CAGCCGCCGCGGUAAUACGAAGGGUGCAAGCGUUAAUCGGAAUUACUGGGCGUAAAGCGCACGCAGGCGGUCUGUCAAGUCAGAUGUGAAAUCCCCGGGCUUAACCUGGGAACUGCAUCUGAAACUGGCAGGCUAGAGUCUUGUAGAGGGGGGUAGAAUUCCAGGUGUAGCGGUGAAAUGCGUAGAGAUCUGGAGGAAUACCGGUGGCGAAGGCGGCCCCCUGGACAAAGGCUGACGCUCAGGUGCGAAAGCGUGGGGAGCAAACAGGAUUAGAUACCCCAGUAGUCCCUGACUCUUAUAC
rnacentral:rRNA from 1 species